AUGAGACGUUACAGCCCAUUUAACUCCAAGAUCCCUCCUUCCUACUUCCACCUCUUCUUCAUUUCUUCAGUGUCAUUUUCCCGUAAGCGGUUUUUCAUCUGCAUCCCGACGCUCUUCAAACGAGGAUACUUCUUUGUUCAUUUAUCAUGGCAACGACAAGGAGCGCUAUCAGAUUUGUGUCUCGCAGGUUCUCUAAUGGCAAAGUUCUUAGCGAAGAGGAAAAAGCUGCUGAGAAUGUUUUCAUCAAGAAAAUGGAGAAGGAGAAGCUUGAGAAGAUAGCUCGACAGGGUCCGGGAGAACAAGCAGCAGGUUCAGCCAAGGCUAGUGGUGGUGGAACAUCAUCAGCUGAAUCCACGGGACCUAAAGUGUCAGAAGACAAGGACAGAAACUAUGCGGUAGUGGCUGGUGUGGUGGCUGUCGUUGGUGCCAUUGGUUGGUACAUGAAAUCAGGCGGAAAGAAGCAGCAGCCAGAGGUUCAAGAGUGAAGAAAGGUAGUAGAAUACUGGACUUUGGAGUGGCUUUACUAUAAUAAAAUAGAGAGUAGCUUACUCAUUCCUCUUGUAUGAGAAACUUUGGAAUUGCCUACUACUCUUUCUUUUGGUUUUGACCAAAUUUUCAGAACAGAUUUUAAGUCUUUUAAAGUGUGCUGGCAUUUAGCUUCGUAAUCUUUAAGUUCAUUAGUCA